AUGAACGCUGGCGGCGUGCCUAAUACAUGCAAGUCGCGCGAACGGACGAGAAGCUUGCUUCUCUGAUGUUAGCGGCGGACGGGUGAGUAACACGUGGAUAACCUACCUAUAAGACUGGGAUAACUUCGGGAAACCGGAGCUAAUACCGGAUGAUAUUUUGAACCGCCUGGUUCAAAAGUGAAAGACGGUCUUGCUGUCACUUAUAGAUGGAUCCGCGCUGCAUUAGCUAGUUGGUAAGGUAACGGCUUACCAAGGCAACGAUGCAUAGCCGACCUGAGAGGGUGAUCGGCCACACUGGAACUGAGACACGGUCCAGACUCCUACGGGAGGCAGCAGUAGGGAAUCUUCCGCAAUGGGCGAAAGCCUGACGGAGCAACGCCGCGUGAGUGAUGAAGGUCUUCGGAUCGUAAAACUCUGUUAUUAGGGAAGAACAUAUGUGUAAGUAACUGUGCACAUCUUGACGGUACCUAAUCAGAAAGCCACGGCUAACUACGUG
rnacentral:rRNA from 1 species